GCCCCCAUAGCUCAACGGAUAGAGCGUAGGCCUCCGAAGCCUGAGAUUGAGGUCCAAUUCCUCAUGGGGGCACCA
rnacentral:tRNA from 1 species